CGGAAGGGAAGGAUGGGGGACAGACGAACGAGGAAGAGAGAGAUGAGAAGGAAAAGGAGGGUUGAAGAAGGGGUAAGGGAGAGAGGGGGAUGGAUGGGGCGAGCAAUAUGAAGGAGAGGAGAGAGAGGGAGCCUCCGGUGAGGUGCGGGGUGGGAGAGCUAGGGAAGCGGUUGGGGUAAGGGUGGAGUGGGGAGACAAACCACAGGGAGUUGGGGAGGGGGGUUAACCCUUACUUUCUGUCUUAAUAGCUAGGCAAUCCGUCUUAAGGGACUUUCCCAGGGUCGCAACAGCUAGGAUGUGUCUGAGCCCAAAUUUGAACCCAGGUUGUCCCGACUCCAGAUCUAUUGCUCUGACCACUGGGAUACCUAGCUGCCCCCUUGGGGAGAUUUUUAUGGUGACUUGGGAUGACAGCAGCAGAGGGAACUCCCGGAGAGGAAACUCUUCACCAAUGCAAAUGACUGCUCUAUAGCUGGGAAUUCGUACUGCAGUCACCGCGCAGAGGCCCAGAGCCACCAAGUAUGUAUGUGUGUGUGUGUCUCAUGCCUAUCAAGCUAGCUAGCCCUGAUUCAUGAACCGGGGCCUCAAGUAUGGAACACCUGGCUUCAAGGGCCACCUCCCUGCCUUCCUCGGGCAAGUCCUGUCCUUCCUCGGUUUCCUCCACUGUAACAGGAGGGAUUGGAUUUCUAUCAGCCGAAGAGGCCCCUUCCUGCUCCUCUCGAAGACUCCAUCCACCAAGUACUUCCAAAGCGCGUUCCACUGACUCCCCCUCGGGAAUGGGGAGUCUUUCAGUUGAGACAAUCAACUCCACUUGGCAGAUGAAGAAAUUGAAGUGCAGAGCAGGAAAAUGACUUGCCCAGGGUCACUCUGGGGUGAGCCUCAGUUGAGGACGCGCGGGGUCCGGAGACGGGGGGCGGGGUCUGCCCGAACCCCCGCCCCCAACCAACUCCGCCCCCCACCUUCCAGGACAACAGGUGUCUGAGAACCGGGCUUGGAGGGGGGGCGCAUGCUCCGCGGGGGAGGGGUGGAGAGACCCCGGGCUGUCACCGCCUCCUAGCGCGCGGCCCCAAGGGCCCAGGCCUCGCUGUCAGCGCGCCCCGCCCCCCCGCCUCCGGCUCCGCCCCCCUGCUCCGGCCCCAACUCCAGCAGAAGCCAGAGUCGGAGCCCGGACCCCAAGCAGGCAGCGGCGGCGGCACGCGGGACUGGGCACCGAUGGAAACCUCCUCCCUCCGGGGCUCGGUUCAGCUCCUCUGGGAGGGCCUCCUCCGGUCAGAAAUCUGAGUGAGAAGGGAAGGCUCUCUGUGGAUGGAGCUAAGGAGCAAGAAUUUUGCCUGAGGCCAGCUCUCGAGUGUCUGCAGCUUCUUCUAUUUGCUGUUCUUCUCUGUGCCAUCUCCCCACAUGCACCCAUGGUCUGUGCUCUUCAGCCUGCUGGUAUUUAUGUUUAGCUGCUCUCAGGGGUAGGUCUUUAGUGGUCUUAGUCAGCUGCCAAGGACCUAGAGGUGCCCCUCACUCUCUCUAGAGGUGUCCCUCGCUCACUCACUGAUUCUAGCACACACUGGCUCUGACUCUAGCUCUGUAGGUGGGCUGGUGGGUGGAUCAGAUCAUAUUUUGGUGGAAGCUUUUUCACCCCCUUAUGGUGUGGAAAUGCCCAGAUCUCAUGUACCUUCAACGCUGCACCCUAUUGUAGAGUCCCUUCAUUCAUAUGAAUUUGGGUUUUUUUUUUUGGCUUUUUGAGGUAGUCUAUAUUGGUAGGUGGUGAGGAGAGAAAGAGUCCUGCGUCUAGGCUGCUGCCAUGUUUGCCUGGAAGUCCAUAUCUGGUGGUAUUGUUAAAGUCAGAAUGGAGAAAUUCCUCAAGUUCAAUUUAUGUAAUUUACCUCAUUAUGAUAGAUGAGGAAACAAAACUGUAGAGGGUAGAAAUGACUUGGCCAAGAUGAUCCAACUAGCAAGUAACAGCUAAGUGGAGUAUUGUUCAUCCUUGGUUUCAGAGAAGACCAAUGACAUCAUGGGAUGAUCUCUUGCCAAGAUGAGUCCCCUUGUGCAGACAAAGACUGCAGUCUGAUUGUGAAGAGCCUGGACAAACACCCAUAUCCCUGAAAGGAUACUCAGAAUGCUCAUCACCUCAGCACAGUCAAGAGCCUCCUGAAAUAUUUCCAGAACAUGUAUUCAAGGGAAAAAAUGGUCAUUCAGUAUGGGUAUCAGGUCUGUGCUGCUACUGAGAGAGAAUGUUUUUUCUUGUCUUUCUUCCCUUCUUCCUUUCUUAUGAAAGACAGGCAUAUCUGACUAUAUUUGCCCUAAGGAUAGGGUCUCCAAGAUAGUACUGAUAGAUAUUAAAAGAACUUACAUUUGGGGGCAGUUCGGUAGCGCAGUGGACAGAAUACUAGGGUCUGGAGUCAGAGGACCCUGGGUUCAAAUGUGACCUCAGACACUUCUUUAAAUGCCUGACAG
rnacentral:lncRNA from 1 species